rnacentral:tRNA from 1 species
GGCACGGUGGUGCAGUGGUUAGUACUCACAAGAAGGAGGUUCUGGGUUCGAGUCCCGGCUGGGUCC